rnacentral:rRNA from 1 species
GACGAACGCUGGCGGCGUGCUUAACACAUGCAAGUCGAACGGAAAGGCCCUGCUUUUGUGGGGUGCUCGAGUGGCGAACGGGUGAGUAACACGUGAGUAACCUGCCCUUGACUUUGGGAUAACUUCAGGAAACUGGGGCUAAUACCGGAUAGGAGCUCCUGCUGCAUGGUGGGGGUUGGAAAGUUUCGGCGGUUGGGGAUGGACUCGCGGCUUAUCAGCUUGUUGGUGGGGUAGUGGCUUACCAAGUCUUUGACGGGUAGCCGGCCUUCGAAGGUGACCGGCCACAUUGGUACUGAGAUACGGCCCAGACUCCUACGGGAGGCAGCAGUGAGGAAUAUUGCACAAUGGGCGGAAGCCUGAUGCAGCAACGCCGCGUGCGGGAUGACGGCCUUCAGGUUGUAAACCGCUUUCGCCUGUGACGAAGCGUGAGUGACGGUAAUGAGUAAAGAAGCACCGGCUAACUACGUG